rnacentral:rRNA from 1 species
CCUACGGGUGGCAGCAGUGAGGAAUAUUGGUCAAUGGGCGCGAGCCUGAACCAGCCAAGUCGCGUGAGGGAGGACGGCCCUACGGGUUGUAAACCUCUUUUGCCGGGGAGCAACGGGCCUCUCGUGUGGCGUCACUGAGAGUACCCGGAGAAAAAGCAUCGGCUAACUCCGUGCCAGCAGCCGCGGUAAUACGGAGGAUGCGAGCGUUAUCGGGAUUUAUUGGGUUUAAAGGGUGCGUAGGGGGAUCGGUAAGUCAGUGGUAAAAUUGAGGGGCUAAACCCCUUACCGCCAUUGAAACUGGCGAUCUUGAGUGGAAGAGAGGUAUGCGGAAUGCGUGGUGUAGCGGUGAAAUGCGUAGAUAUCACGCAGAACCCCGAUUGCGAAGGCAGCAUGCUGGCUUCCGACUGACGCUGAGGCACGAAAGCGUGGGGAUCGAACAGGAUUAGAUACCCUUGUAGUC